UAUUUCAGAACGAACUUCGUACGAAUUUGAAUUGUCCAAUUUCAUGGACCAAUCGAUAUCGGAUUGAGUGCAAAACGUGGGGAGCAUCAUACUAUGGUGGGUGGAGUCAUUUGGUGGCUUUUGAGUGAAAUCCAAUGGGAAAAAAGUAUGCAAUACACCAACCACUCCAUUGCAUAACGAACUUCGUACGAACCUGUAUUGUCCAAUUUCAUGGACCUAUCGAUAUCGGAUUUAGUCCAAAACUUGGGGAUGAUCAUAAUAUGGUGGGAGGAGUCAUUUCGUGGGUUUUGAGUGAAAUCCAAUCUCUACAACUAUGCAAUACACC
rnacentral:lncRNA from 1 species